UACGUAGGGCGCAAGCGUUAUCCGGAAUUAUUGGGCGUAAAGAGCGUGUAGGCGGCCCGGUAAGUCCGCUGUGAAAGUCGGGGGCUCAACCCUCGGAUGCCCGGUGGAGUACUGUCGGGCUCGAGUACGGAAGAGGCGAGUGGAAUUCCUGGUGGUAGCGGUGAAAUGCGCAGAUAGUCAGGAGGAACACCUAUUGCGAAGGCAGCUCGCUGGGACGUUACUGACGCUGAGGAGCGAAAGCGUGGGGAGCGAACAGG
rnacentral:rRNA from 1 species